GGCUUGGAUGGGCUCCCUGGCCUCCAUGGUAAGGAGGGGGUCGACGGUUCGAGUCCGUCAUCGGGCUU
rnacentral:tRNA from 1 species